rnacentral:tRNA from 1 species
CGUAGCUUAGAGGUAAAGCAUCUGACUUUUAAUCAGAGGAGCGGAGGUUCAAAUCCUCUC